AGAGUUUGAUCCUGGCUCAGAGCGAACGCUGGCGGCAGGCCUAACACAUGCAAGUCGAGCGCCCCGCAAGGGGAGCGGCAGACGGGAGAGUAACACGUGGGAACGUGCCCUUCAGUUCGGAACAACCCAGGGAAACUUGGGCUGAUACCGGAUACGUCCGUAAGGAGAAAGAUUUAUCGCUGAAGGAUCGGCCCGCGUCUGAUUAGCUAGUUGGUGGGGUAAUGGCCCACCAAGGCGACGAUCAGUAGCUGGUCUGAGAGGAUGAUCAGCCUCACUGGGACUGAGACACGGCCCAGACUCCUACGGGAGGCAGCAGUGGGGAAUAUUGGACAAUGGGCGCAAGCCUGAUCCAGCCAUGCCGCGUGGAUGAUGACGGCCUUAGGGUUGUAAAGUCCUUUCGGCGGGGAAGAUAAUGACGGUACCCGCAGAAGAAGCCCCGGCUAACUUCGUGCCAGCAGCCGCGGUAAUACGAAGGGGGCUAGCGUUGCUCGGAAUCACUGGGCGUAAAGCGCACGUAGGCGGCUUUUUAAGUCAGGGGUGAAAUCCUGGAGCUCAACUCCAGAACUGCCUUUGAUACUGAGAAGCUUGAGUCCGGGAGAGGUGAGUGGAACUGCGAGUGUAGAGGUGAAAUUCGUAGAUAUUCGCAAGAACACCAGUGGCGAAGGCGGCUCACUGGCCCGGUACUGACGCUGAGGUGCGAAAGCGUGGGGAGCAAACAGGAUUAGAUACCCCGGUAGUCC
rnacentral:rRNA from 1 species